rnacentral:rRNA from 1 species
GGCCUUGUACACACCGCCCGUCAAGCGAUGGAAGUCAGGAGUACCUGAUGUCGCCCCGGUAAGGGGUGCCUAGGGUAAGCCUGGUAACUGGCGCUAAGUCGUAACAAGGUAGCCGUACCGGAAGGUGCGGCUGGAUCACCUCCUU